rnacentral:tRNA from 1 species
GGGGGUGUAGCUCAGCUUGGUUUAGAGCGCCGGCCUGUCACGCCGGAGGUCGCGGGUUCGAGUCCCGUCACUCCCGCCA